UAAUCGUGGAUCAGAAUGCCACGGUGAAUACGUUCCCGGGCCUUGUACACACCGCCCGUCACACCAUGGGAGUGGGUUGCAAAAGAAGUAGGUAGCUUAACCUUCGGGAGGGCGCUUACCACUUUGUGAUUCAUGACUGGGGUGAAGUCGUAACAAGGUAACCGUAGGGGAACCUGCGGUUGGAUCACCUCCUUACCUUAAAGAAGC
rnacentral:rRNA from 1 species